GUYUUUUUGUUAAAAAUUUAAAGUCAGGCCUGCCCACUGAAAUUUUAAAUGGCCGUGGUAUUUUGACCGUGCUAAGGUAGCAUAAUCAUUAGUUUUUUAAUUGAAAGCUGGAAUGAAAGGUUUGAUAAAAAAAUGACUGUCUCUAUUUAAUUUUAUUAGAAAUUUAUUUUUAAGUUCAAAAGCUUAAUUUUUAUUAAAAGACGAGAAGACCCUAUAGAGUUUAAUAAUUUAAGGUAAUUUAUAUUUUAGAAUUAAUUUAUUUAUUUUUUAAUAUUAUUUAAUUGGGGUGAUUGAAAAAUUUAAUUAACUUUUUUUAUAUUUAACCAUUAAUUUAUGAUAAUUUGAUCCAAUUUUUUUGACUAUAAGAUAAAAUUACCUUAGGGAUAACAGCGUAAUUUUUUUAGAAAGUUCAAAUUAAAAGAAAAGAUUGCGACCUCGAUGUUGGAUUAAAAUUAAAUUUUGGUGUAGAAGCUAAAAAUUUUAAGUCUGUUCGACUUUUAAAAUUUUACA
rnacentral:rRNA from 1 species